AUCAAUCGAAUCAAUACAACUUCUAUUUCGCAUUUUAUCCUAGGAGUAGUUCUAGUCUAGUUUAGGUUUAGCCUCUCGAUCCCCAAAUUCUUCGCCUCUCUUCGACUCUACGUCGAUUAGAGGAGUCUAGGUCGGCCGGCCCGAGCCUAGACAACCCCUAGGAUCUCUCCUCCCCGACGGGGUCCCUCCCGGGAGCGAGUCCAGGCGCCGCCGGUGAUCUUCCGCCGCCUCUGCGCACGCGGGGACCGUCCGGCCCCAGGGCGCGGACCGUCCGACCGUCAGGCAGGAAACCUUAGCCCCUGCGCCAGGUCGCGGACCGUCCACGCCUGACCAGAGAGCACCGCCGCCGGUUCUUUUUGAGUAUUUGGCGCUCCGAAAAAGCGUCAACAGGGAGAAAUUAUUUUUGUUUUUAGAGCUGAGGGAGAAAAGGUGAUUUUUGGGAUAGUUGAGACAAAAAUGGACCUAACCCGAUUCUCACACCUAUCAUGAAACACUGCAAGUUCAUUGAGCCAAACAACAAUUCGUAUUCCCAGGCCAGGCAUAUGAUCCUUCUUGUCUAAGGUUCUAUUUGUUUGGGUUCUAGCAUUUAAAGCUUAAAAAACUGCCGUUGAGCUUUUGAUCAAGAAAAAACUGCUACUGUGCUUUUGGGUUCUAGCUUUUAAAGCUUCUUGUCUAAGGUUCUAUUUGUUUAGGUAUAAUUAGCUUUCUAAACUCACAAAACUAAAAAAUCCAUAACACUAGACUUUUGAGCAUCUCUAUAAAUUUGAUUUUUUGAACGUGUAAUUUUUGAAAAACUAAAUAAAACACUAGGUACUUGUUUCGUGCUGAUACGUGCUCAAACAACGGUCACUCACCUCAGCCACUCCCAAAACCCCAAAACCCUCUCCUCUCGAGAAGCAGAGCGGCGGAGAUCCGGAGAGAAGCCAUCGGCAGCCGGGAAGCCCGUCGCGUGCCUUUCUUCCUCGACGUGCCAUGAUUAACGGAAUAUUUGAGCACUGGGGUUCGUAUCGCACGCCAAGAUCUUCCCUUUUGUGUUGUCUUUUAUUCUCCGAUCGUGCCCGCAUUAGUGGAUAUUAGGGUGCACCGCGCUGCUUGUAUUGUGUCUCUAUCUCGUCGUUUGCUAGUUUCUGCUACUAAUCGGGAUGCUGGGCUCAAUGUAGAAAGACUGAGAGAUUCGAUCAACCUGUUCAUCCCCUAAUGUUCGUAGAUGACCUUAGUGCGAUUUGCGAUUUUUCGUUUCCCUUGUUUUUCUUGGUUUGUUGAUUGGGGAAAGGUUUCAGUUAUUUACUGGGUGAGGCUGGUUGGUUCAGGUAAGGCUACGACUUGUCUGCUACUGUUAUUCAGCAGUAUGUAUUGCUGUUUGCCACUAUAAAUUUUCGUUUAUUGGUGUGAUUCAGUCUCUUAAUUCCAUGAAUUUAGGGAUGGGUGAUUUUAUCUUAUGCAGUCAUUGCAGUAGUGGUGCAUGGUAAAUUAGAAUGCUCCAGGACUGACAAGGUCGAGGGAGACAAUUUUAGGUUUUCAGCUUUUCAUGAACUGUAGGAGGUUUCCUAUCAAAUCAGAUAAACAGAUGCUGAAUCAGAAGGUACUUGUGUGGCCUUGACAUUACAAAUUCUCUAAUGGUCCUAGUCAACAACUUUGGUUACAUUGUUCUCAUGAUCUUGCAUUCUCUCACUGUAUAAAUGCAACUGAAUGUUAGCACUGCCAAUGGCCUUGUUCCCUUAGAAGAAAUCUCCUAUUUUCCUGCGAUUUGUGAUGUCAAUGGUUUAUCUUACUUAUUAUGGAUACUAAAAGGAGUUGUAGUCAGACCUGGAGCGACAGUGAAGUGUGACCCAGGAGAGUUCUGGUGCCAUGUUUCACAGGUUGGUUUCUACCUGUAAUGAUCACUAUUGGUUUAUCUUAUUUUUGUGCAGUUCCUGUUUUUUGAAUUUUCAGUUGUUGGUCUUUUAAGAUAGCAUUACAUGAUAGAAAGGGGAAUGAGGAGGUGAGAGUUUUUGUGAAGGUUGAUGGAAAAGAGUUUUGGAUUGGAAAACUAUCAGUUGACAAAUACCCUCAGUGUAAAACUAGUUUGGUAUUCGAGAAGGAGUCCCGGAUCGAUGGGAUCGAGGAACGGGAAUGUGGUACGUGGUACGCUACUAAAACUAAGAUUUAACACUACUAGAACUAGAUUGUUCCCACGUUCCCGGAACGGAACGAACGUUCAGAACGAGGAACGUGGCCAAGUUCCCAGUCCCAGUUACUAAGGUUUGAGUUACUACACACCUCGAAAACCAGCACCAUCUCUGCCCUUGGCUACAAAUGUUGGCAUUGCAAGAGAAAGUAUCCUUUCAUUUUACUUUGUUCAAUAUUUUUAGAGAAGCCUGAACACAACUUUCUUUUCCCUAACAACUUCUUUCUCAUUUAUCAUAUAUAUGAUAGUGUCACAAGUACCAACGAAGGUAAUAAUCUUGUUCUUCCAGUAUUGGACAUCCCUAAUGUUUUUUUAUCACUUGGCAUAAACAACAUGGUGAUUGAUGUUUCAAAUGAUGAAUCUGAUGAGGAGGUUCCACAGGCUAUUCCAUUAUUCCCAAAAGCAGAUGAUUUCCAGUGAUGGGGAUGAAUGUGAGAGGUCAAAUGAAGAAGAUGAAGACUCCAAAGGACUUCUACUCGAAAGUGAAGUAGCAUUCAUGGACUAUGUUAGGGAAGUUCGUUAUUAGGCAACUGAAUUGUGGGUUUGCGUUUACUGCUACAAACGGGCUCUAAGGCAGCAUCACAAUGUCCGAUGCGUAUUUGAUUAUUGUGGGUUGUUGGAAAGUUGCUGUUUUUUCUGCUCAACAGAAUGUGUAAUUGAGAUUUUCUUGAAUUAGAAAGUUGUUGUUUUGCAACGGGUAUUGACA